UCAUCUGCAAGAAGAAGGCCUUUGGAGUUGGGCCUUUCCGGAUCUUUCACAAUCUAGAUGAAAAUUCUGUGAAGCAAUCCUUUUUUUUUCGGUGCUCUUUUUAACUUUUUCACAUAACUUUUGUGAACGCCCAUUAUAAGGGGAGAAGAAAGGGGUGCGUAGGUAUUAUCCAUUAAGAGGUAACUACUUUUAAAGGGUGGCGGAUUAGAACCGGGUGCGGUGGAAUUUCAGCCUGUGAGAUUUUUCAUCACUAUAAAAGCAAAC